AACGAACGCUGGCGGCAGGCUUAACACAUGCAAGUCGAGCGCCCCGCAAGGGGAGCGGCAGACGGGUGAGUAACGCGUGGGAAUCUACCGUGCCCUACGGAAUAGCUCCGGGAAACUGGAAUUAAUACCGUAUACGCCCUACGGGGGAAAGAUUUAUCGGGGUAAGAUAGGCCCGCGUUGGAUUAGCUAGUUGGGGGGGUAAAGGCCAACCAAGGCGACGAUCCAUAGCUGGUCUGCAAGGAUGAUAAGCCACAUUGGGACUGAGACACGGCCCAAACUCAUACGGGAGGCAGCAGUGGGGAAUACUAGACAAUGGGCGAAAGCCUGAUCCAGCCAUGCCGCGUGAGUGAUGAAGGCCUUAGGGUUGUAAAGCUCUUUCAGUGGGGAAGAUAAUGACGGUACCCACAGAAGAAGCCCCGGCUAACUUCGUGCCAGCAGCCGCCGUAAAAC
rnacentral:rRNA from 1 species